GUAAUCUGAGGAGUAAGGAAGAGAUCUGGCACUGCCCUCAGAACUGGGUUAUACUCCAUGAAUCUGAACUUUCACAAUUCUAAAGAGAAAACUCAAGAUAUAUGGAUUUCAGAAACUAUUUCAGAGUCAUUCAAUUCCAUUCACUUCAAAUACCACUGCCUCUGGAGUAAUAAAUAUGCAACUGCCUGUAGACACAAUAAUGUAUUUAAUCUUGAGCAAAAGGUUGUUGAGUUGUUAAACAUGAAAGCUGCGGAAAGUGUUCCUUUGCUCUGACAAAAAUAAAAUUUUGUUCCGUAUAUUUAUAUCAAAAAUGAACAAAGAGAUGAAGGCCAAAUGUGGACCUAGA
rnacentral:lncRNA from 1 species